rnacentral:lncRNA from 1 species
ACAAUGAAACCCAUCUGAUUAAGAUGCUCAACUUUUCUGAAGAAAAAGCUGACACCAAGACCUGCCUAAGGUCACACCAUCAUGAGUGGCUGAGUUGGGCUGUGAUGAGCCACCUGGCUGGAGAGCUCGUGCCCUGGUUACACGACUGCCAGUGAGAUGCCUAUGGACUCAUGCAUGUAGAGAGUGAGUGCAGCAGUGACAGCUUGGUGGGCUCCAGCUGACCCCUCCAGAGCCCCUGAGUGGUGGCGGUCUGCAGUCCUCAGUCAGCAGCAGCAGACGUCACCCGUCAUACAGGGCCAUUCACUGAAGUGUCACCUGGUGUGCUUGGCUGGCCAGUCCUAAGGAGCAACAGACAGGCAUCGGAGGCACUUGCAGCAGAAAUAUGAAAAACAAAACCUACUUAGCUGAGCUCCCCAAGGGCAGGGACCACUUAUUUUAACAUUGUUUUGAACUUAGUAAGUUUUUAAUAAAAUGACUGACAUGUAAAUGAAUGGAGCAAAAGCUCUAGA